rnacentral:lncRNA from 1 species
CCCGCGGACCCUCUCUCCGCGCGGAGAUGCGCCUCAGCCGAGCGGUCAGUCAGAUUUAGCUAUCAGUCGCCGGCGCACGCUCGCUUGCCUUGCGCAGUGACUAUCGUGUGGCCGGCGACAAAUGAUUAAUAUUUUAAUAGAUAUCUGUAUCGUUUAAUAUCUUCAAAUGUAAAUGAGUAGUGUUUAAAUCCCCAAUUGGGGUGCUAUGGUACGGGUGAUCACCGGCCAUGAGACCACCAUCACGCUGACUCCAAGGACCUGGUGCUGACCCUGGCAGUCACGGCUGACGUUCUUCAGCACUCCGUCACUUCACCUACAUAGCGGAGCCAGGGAAGUACUAGCGUGUGGGCUACAGCUGCUUUCUUAAUCCGGGAGUAAAAUUAAUCAGACGGUUAACGGACUUUGACCCUUCGACGAUUGUUUCGAAUGCUUGCGACGGUUUAAGCGGAAUAAAUUUGUGAAGUGAGA